UCCAACAGUGUUGUGGUUCUGUGUGUCUCUGUGUGGGGGUGCUGUCAAGUCCCACUGUCAUAAAGUCGCAACAUGUUUUGCAGCCAGUGAUUUUGGCUUCCCAUUCCAACUAUUUUGGAGAAGGAUGAACUACACUGCAAUUAUGUUCUCUGAUGCUGCGCUACUUGUUAAGAGUAGAAGUCACACACAGGAGCAGGUAGUUACCAUAUUUUUUGCUCUAUAAGACUCACUCCCCCCCCCCUAAAAAGUAAGGGGAAUUGUGUGUGCGUCUUAUGGAGCAAAUGCAGGCUGCGCAGCUAUCCCAGAAGCCAGAACAGCAAGAGGGAUCGCUACGCAGCGAUCCCUCUUGUUGUUCUGGCUUCUGAGAUUCAGAUUUUUUUUUCUUGUUUUCCUCCUCCAAAAACUAGGUGCGUCUUAUGGUCUGGUGCGUCUUAUGGUGCGAAAAAUACGGUACGUAUCGGAACCCAUUCACAAUGCGCUCUCAAGCCUUAUAAUGCACAGUCACUUCAGAUCUGUUUGAUAGAAGAUGGUGGGUUCUGAACCCCAGACCACAUCGCUGCCACAGAUAACACUCACAGUCAAAAACAGGUAUUUUCUCUCCCUCUGCUGUCUCUAUUACUUUCCAUCUGCGCUAUACAUUUAAAGCAGAAUCAUAUCCAUUUAAGCAGUCAUAGAUUCCGCCAAGGAAUCAUGAGCAGUGUAGUUUGUAAAGGGUAUUGAGAGUUGUUAGGAGACCCCUAUACCCUUCACAGCACUACAAUUUCCCAAAGUGUCCUGGGAAGAGGAACUGAUUUCUUAAACCACUCUGUGAAUAGUAGCCUUCUAACAACUCUCAGCACCCUUAACAAACUACACCUCCCAGUAUUAGCCUGUAGUAGCUCUGCCUCCAUAGUUGGUGGCAGAAAUGCUUCUGAAUACCAGCUGCUGUAAACCGCAGGAGGGGAGAGUGCUCUUGGGCUUGGGUCUUGCUUAAGGGUUUUCCACAGGGAUCUGGGUAGCCACCGUAAGAACAGGGGGGAAGCCAUAACUGUUUAAAGUGGUAUGAUGCAGCUUUAAUUGUAUAGUGCAAAUUGUGUUAUAUAUGUGUGUGUUUGCGUGCCUGUGUGUGCAGUAUGCUGAGCAAGUACUGGCGAGACCCUUUCCAGCUAUGUUUUGUGGUUCGAGGACCCGACCCCCGCAAUGUGAAAUGAAUACGCAAGGACACGUGAUAUAAGGUUAAUGGGCAAGAAAAGGCCACAACUUUAUUGAUUACAGCAGUGAAAAGGUAUUGGCUUAGGCAUUGGAUGUCUAAAACAAG